CAUUAGGGGAAUGAAUAAAUUAAAAGUGUGCUCCAGCAAUUUAGUCUUCCUAAGCAGAUAUCCUGCAAGCUCUACAGAGGAUGUCAAAACCUGCUGAUAUCUAACACAGUCAACUCCAAGUUUGUGUAUCCCGGUCCACUCUACCUUUCCAUCAGGCAGUACAUGUGGAAAUGGAAAAGUAGCUCUCUAAUUAAUCAAAGUCAGAUCUGCCUGAACGCCUGGAGUUGCUGCUGAUCCUUGUCCCAGCUUCUCCCAUGUUCUCUCUCUAUGUUUUUACCUUGAAAACUUCUGCUCAGAGCUGGGAAUGCCUGAAGGGCUUGCACGAAUAGGAAAACUGAUUACCUGGCUCCAUAUUCCAUGCGCAGUUUCAUGUCACCGCACUGAUCAGAAAAGAUGGGGCUACAGGAGUGGAACUCAUUAGCUUCUCUCAGAAAACAAACCACAUCCCAGGAAAAAAAAGUGUUCCACGCAGAAUUUAUACAUGCACUUUAAGGUAGUGCACUCAUUGCUGUGGAUGGAGAAGUCUAAGGAUUGGGAGCCAGUCAGACCUAAAAAGGAAAAGAGCUAAUGGAUUGCUUUAAAAAAUUGAAAAAAAUAUGUGAAUAAGUAUGUGACAUUAUACACACUGUAAAUGGGGUAUGCAAUCUUAAAAGAAUAAAGCCAUAACAUUCUGCU